UAGGGAAUCUUCCACAAUGGACGAAAGUCUGAUGGAGCAACGCCGCGUGAGUGAAGAAGGGUUUCGGCUCGUAAAACCCUGUUGUUAAAGAAGAACAUAUCUGAGAGUAACUGUUCAGGUAUUGACGGUAUUUAACCAGAAAGCCACGGCUAACUACGUGCCAC
rnacentral:rRNA from 1 species